rnacentral:rRNA from 1 species
CGACGUGAGUAACCUGCCUUACACAAGGGGAUAGCCUCUGGAAACGGAGAAUAAUACCCUAUGAAACUAUCUUAUCGCAUGAAAAGAUAGUCAAAGUGUUUUAGCGGUGUAAGAUGGACUUGCGUCUGAUUAGCUAGUUGGUGAGAUAACAGCCCACCAAGGCAACGAUCAGUAGCCGGCUUGAGAGAGUGUACGGCCACAUUGGGACUGAGACACGGCCCAG